UAAAAACACUACAUUAGGAUCAUGCAAAAGAUAGGUAAAUAAUUAAAUAGAGAUUAAAAUUCUAUGUAUCACUGAUAUAAGAAUAAUUUUUAGUUAGACCAUAUAUACAUGUACGAGUACACUGGAAAAAAUGCAAAAUUUAAUUACAUCUUGUUGUUUUCAUCCUCAAUUUUUUGGAGUAUUUUUUUUUUCAAAUGUUCCAAUCUUCAUUCUUAAGUAAUUGAAAAUUUAGUCUCAUCAUCAAAAUGAUGAGGAAAUAAAGUAUGGAUCUCUCCUUAACUCUUUUUAUCUUUCAGCAUAGUUUGAAACCACAAUCUCCUCCUUUUUUGCUUUCUUUUUUCGUCUUCGUUAAGUGGAAUGGCGAUCACUGCCAAAUCAGAUAGAGAAAAGUCACUUGUAACACAUGUUAUUUGGUGAUGGAUAGUUAAGUGACAUCUGUAUGGUUUGUAACGGCUUAGGAGUAACGAGUAUGAACUUCUUAGGAGUAACGAGUGUGAACUGCUUAGGGAUAACGAGUGUGAACUCCUUAAAUAGGACAAGUGUAUUGCCACCAGCGGUGGACCGAGGGUAGCUAGUUUAAGAGGGGAGGUAAAGCCGGCAGUCUGUCGGUGGUGAAGCAGCCGUGCACAUCCUUUUAUACCAGUUUGGAUUUAUACCAGGGACCAUUCUUUACACCACAUGAACGCCAGAGAUUGUUGGACCGUUCGCACGCACGUUCGUGUUCACAUGGGACAAGUAAAACACCAAAAGAAAGAACGAGUCUCGAUAACCUGGCGUAGUAGCAAUACACCACGAGGAAACACCCUUGCCUAACACCUCUGAGUGGGUGUUAUAUCACUCAUCCUCCGUCACUGGUGGUGUGACUUCCACUAGUGUUGAAGGAGAGGAAGGGAUGGGACCGAUAGCGGAACGAGAGCAGACCGUACAUGUGAAUGACCAGAGCGAGAGCGGAGCAAGAGCAUAGCGAGAGCGGAGCGAGAACUUAGCGAUAGUGUGAAUCAAGCCUUAGCCUCAUUAGGUGAGGGGGCUUCGGCGCCGCGUCGGGAGCAAGCUUAGAGUGCAAUAGUGGCAGAGCUACAAACGACCCCCACACGGAAGAGGAACAACAAUCAGUCAGUCAGUUAGUCAGUUCUCCCACAGCGGUGGCAGUGGUAUUCCGAAGCAGCGCAUGUGUGACGGCAUCAAUGAAUACUGCAGUAACGGAGAGGAUGAGUUUGUGCAGCUGUGUGGGAUUGAAGAGUGCCUGGAGAAGAAUGUCGGGUGUGUGUUUACAUCAACACUCUAGAGUCAUACUACUGCCAGUGCCGGCCAUGCAGGGUACAGACUCGUGUCAGAAAGUUCAAGUGUGAAGACGUUGACGAGUGCGUGGAGUCGCCAAGAUCCUCUCCCUGUGGACCAUCCCCUCAGCAGU